rnacentral:rRNA from 1 species
UACCUUGUGGUUGAAAGUUUCGGCGGUUACAGAUGGGCAUGCGUUGUAUUAGCUGGUUGGUAAGGUAACGGCUUACCAAGGCGACGAUACAUAGGGGGACUGAGAGGUUAACCCCCCACCAUUGGUACUGAGACACAGACCAAACUCCUACGGGAGGCAGCAG